rnacentral:lncRNA from 1 species
GACAUAUUUUAUAAUUAUAAAAUUUAAUUUUAUAUUUAUAAUAUUUUUAUUAUUAAUAAAAUAUAUUUUUAUUUCAAUCAUAUUUAUGUGUCCAUGAUUUAUCUUAAAAAUUAAUAAAGAUGAUUUUGUAUGUUAUUAAGGUAUUAAAAAUUUGAGACAUACAUUAUUAAUGGUUAGUUUCUAAAUACUUUCAAUCGAAAGAAUCAUCAUGAAGGACAGUGAUCAAUUCAUUUAAUAUCGAUGCACAAAUUACCUCCCUUCUGGACAGAUAAGUCUGGGGUCUGCAGUAUAGGGACACUGGGGUGAGAGUGCAGAUGGUUGUUAGAGAAUAACUUACAUUAAGCAUGACUAACACGAGAAAGUACUUGGAUGUCUACUUACUCAUCAAUGAUUAUCUUAAUGAUGUAGUGGUAUGAGUGGUCUUUUGACCUACGGUG